rnacentral:rRNA from 1 species
AUACAGAGGGUGCGAGCGUUAAUCGGAAUUAUUGGGCGUAAAGCGCGCGUAGGCGGCUUAUUAAGUCAGAUGUGAAAUCCCCGGGCUCAACCUGGGAACUGCAUCUGAUACUGGUAAGCUAGAGUUUUGGAGAGGGAAGUAGAAUUUCAGGUGUAGCGGUGAAAUGCAUAGAUAUCUGAAGGAAUACCAGUGGCGAAGGCGGCUUCCUGGCCUAAAACUGACGCUGAGGUGCGAAAGCGUGGGUAGCAAACGGGAUUAGAAACCCCAGUAGUCC